GUGGGGAAUCUUGCGCAAUGGGCGAAAGCCUGACGCAGCCAUGCCGCGUGAAUGAUGAAGGUCUUAGGAUUGUAAAAUUCUUUCACCGGGGACGAUAAUGACGGUACCCGGAGAAGAAGCUCCGGCUAACUUCGUGCCAGCAGCCGCGGUAAUACGAAGGGGGCUAGCGUUGCUCGGAAUUACUGGGCGUAAAGGGCGCGUAGGCGGACAGCUUAGUCAGAGGUGAAAGCCAAGGGCUCAACCUUGGAAUUGCCUUUGAUACUGGCUGUCUUGAGUUUGGGAGAGGUGAGUGGAACUCCGAGUGUAGAGGUGAAAUUCGUAGAUAUUCGGAAGAACACCAGUGGCGAAGGCGACUCACUGGCCCAAUACUGACGCUGAGGCGCGAAAGCGUGGGGAGCAAACAGGAUUAGAAACCCCGGUAGUCC
rnacentral:rRNA from 1 species